rnacentral:lncRNA from 10 species
ACUGAGGUGCAGCAGAGCCCAGAGGAGGCUGUCAGCAGCAUCCCAGGAGGAUGUUGCAAAACUGAUUCCUGUUUAUGGACGUGGAGGGUGAAGGAGGUGUUCAUGGGGCAUCACCCAGGGUGUAGUCUGAUAUUAACUUGCAUGCUUCCUUAUGAUGGAAACCUGGUCUGGGUUGCUCACCACUGAACCUCCUCACACCUGGAGCCGUGCCUAGCACAAGGAGCUUACGUAUCCUCAGAAGAGAAGAAACAGAGACGAUUGCUGUCUUCAUUUUAGAGACAAAGAACCCGAGGCGUAGAGAGCCAGGAAAUGGAGGUAAUGACUUCUGCCCUGGAGGACUACAUGGCAUCUUCUAUGUUGAAACCACUUUCAAAGUUUUCAAAACUAUACACCCAUCAUGUAUCACUAAUAUAGCUCGAUAUACUACGGAUCACAGUCCUGACUUCAACUGUUAGUGUAAUGUCUCAUCAACACUGAGAACACGUUAUGUGGUGUUUUACUGUCAUGAACGAAACCUAUUUCCCCAGAAAAACUGGCAGAUAUUAGCAUUAAUCUGAUUUUUCAAAGAAGUUAAUUAUUUCCCAGAAUAAGUCACUGUGACUUAUCAAAGGGCCUUGGUUGGUGGGAAGUAAAGCCCAGACUGCAUUCUUGAAGCUGCUAGCCUUUGCCAGCUCAUUGCAAAUUGAGCAACACUGAUGAACCCACAGUUAAUCUAUGGAGUCAAAUGCAACUGGACACAAAUGCCUGGGGAUUUUCCCUGUGAGAUUCUCUUGCCCUUCUGGUGAUGGUGAAGGACAGCACUACCCAUGGCAGGGGCGGUCACUAGUCUCUGGCAUUUACUUGACCUUAUGGCUGCCAUGAACACCAGGCACAGCCUUUGCAGGAGGCACUGCUGCCUUCAGCCUGCCUGGCCUGGGGGCGCAGAGAGGAAAGGGAUAUGGGCUUUUGCAAAAGGCCCCUAGAGCAAAGUCAGACUGAUGGCAAAGGCUUGAGUGCUCGAUGGGCGAGGGAGAUGCUUUCGCUUCAAUUUUCACUGAGUAAUGAGGCGUACUGAGCAAAAUACACUUGUCCUUGGAAUGUGAGGCACACACGUGGCAGGCAUAAAGUUAUAAAAAGGAGGAGCUCCUUAGUCUGCUGAACUUAAAGACUUAUCUUGCCUUCCUGCUGUUAAUUCUUUACAGAGACUUCCUCUUCUCCAUUUCCCAGGGUUCUCCAUGGGGAUGUGCUUGAGGGAGAAUGAGCAGUUUAAGAGAAAAGAAUUCCUCCAGAGUGGGUUGUGGAGAGCACUGGAGAAGGUCUGGGCU